rnacentral:rRNA from 1 species
UCGAGGAUCUUUGGCAAUGAGCGCAAGCUUGACCAAGCGACGCCGCGUGGACGAUGAAGGCCUUCGGGUUGUAAAGUCCUGUCGAGGGGGAUAAAAGCGUAAGCUUGAUAGAUCCCUGGAGGAAGCACGGGCUAAGUUCGUGCCAGCAGCCGCGGUAAGACGAACCGUGCGAACGUUGUUCGGAAUCACUGGGCUUAAAGGGCGCGUAGGCGGCUUGCCAAGUCAGGGGUGAAAUCUUUCGGCUCAACCGGAAAAGUGCCUUUGAUACUGGCGAGCUAGAGGGAGGUAGGGGUAUGUGGAACUUCCGGUGGAGCGGUGAAAUGCGUUGAUAUCGGAAGGAACGCCGGUGGCGAAAGCGACGUACUGGAUCUCUUCUGACGCUGAGGCGCGAAAGCUAGGGGAGCAAACGGGAUUAGAUACCCCUGUAGUCC